GACGAACGCUGGCGGCGUGCUUAACACAUGCAAGUCGAACGGAGUGGCGAACGGGUGAGUAACACGUGGGUGACCUGCCCUGCACUUCGGGAUAAGCCUGGGAAACUGGGUCUAAUACCGGAUAGUGUGGGAUGGGCCCGCGGCCGCUCAGCUUGGUGGUGGGGUAAUGGCCUACCAAGGCGGCGACGGGUCGCCGGCCUGAGAGGGUGGACGGCGAAAUUGGGACUGAGACGCGGCCCAGACUUCUACGGGAGGCAGCAGUGGGGAAUAUUGCACAAUGGGCGGAAGCCUGAUGCAGCGACGCCGCGUGGGGGAUGAUGGCCUUCGGGUUGUAAACUCCUUUCACCAUCGACGCGGUAGAUGGAGAAGAAGCACCGGCUAACUACGUGCCAGCAGCCGCGGUAAUAC
rnacentral:rRNA from 1 species